UCCUGAUGAUAUUUUGUGGGGAAAUGCAACAAUCGAACAAAAGGGCAUAAAGAAAAGAAAGAAUCAAAUGUAUUUGUUGCUAGCUUCAUCACUUUUAUUUU
rnacentral:ribozyme from 1 species